rnacentral:rRNA from 1 species
UACGAAGGGGGGCUAGCGUUGCUCGGAAUCACUGGGCGUAAAGGGCGCGUAGGCGGCCACCGCAAGUCGACUGUGAAAUCUCCGGGCUUAACUCGGAAAGGUCAGCCGAUACUGCGGGGCUAGAGUGCAGAAGGGGCAACUGGAAUUCUCGGUGUAGCGGUGAAAUGCGUAGAUAUCUGGAGGAACACCGGUGGCGAAGGCGGCAUUCUGGACCGAUAUUGACGCUGAGGAGCGAAAGCCAGGGGAGCAAACAGG